AUUCCAGCUCCAAUAGCGUAUACUAAAGUUGUUGCAGUUAAAAAGCUCGUAGUUGAAUUUCUGGUCGUGGCGACCGGUCCGCCCCUCACGGGGUGUGCACCUGGUCUCUGCGUCCAUCCUCGGGGAGAGCGCGUCUGGCAUUCAGUUGUCGGGCGCGGGAUCCUCGUCAUUUACUGUGAGCAAAAUAGAGUGUUCAAAGCAGGCUUAGGCCGUUGAAUACAUUAGCAUGGAAUAAUAAGAUAGGACCUUGGUCUAUUUUGUUGGUUUGCAUUCCAAGGUAAUGAUUAAUAGGGAUAGUUGGGGGUAUUCGUAUUCAAUUGUCAGAGGUGAAAUUCUUGGAUUUAUGGAAGACGAACUACUGCGAAAGCAUUUACCAAGGAUGUUUUCAUCG
rnacentral:rRNA from 1 species